GACGAACCGUGCGAACGUUGUUCGGAAUCACUGGGCUUAAAGGGCGCGUAGGCGGGUUCGCAAGUCUGUGGUGAAAGCCCCCAGCUUAACUGGGGAAGUGCUGUGGAUACUGCGAAUCUUGAGGAGGGUAGGGGCAUCUGGAACGGUCGGUGGAGCGGUGAAAUGCGUUGAUAUCGACCGGAACUCCGGUGGCGAAGGCGAGGUGCUGGACCCUUUCUGACGCUGAGGCGCGAAAGCCAGGGGAGCAAACGGG
rnacentral:rRNA from 1 species